ACGGAAGGCAGCAGUGGGGGAUAUUGCGCAAUGGGGGCAACCCUGACGCAGCAACGCCGCGUGAAGGAAGACGGCCUUCGGGUUGUAAACUUCUUUAAGUGUGGAAGAAGAUGACGGUACACACAGAAUAAGCCACGGCUAACUACGUGCCAGCAGCCGCGGUAAUACGUAGGUGGCGAGCGUUGUCCGGAUUUACUGGGUGUAAAGGGCGUGUAGGCGGGAUUACAAGUCAGAUGUGAAAUACCGGGGCUCAACUCCGGGGCUGCAUUUGAAACUGUAGUUCUUGAGUGCUGGAGAGGAAAGCGGAAUUCCUAGUGUAGCGGUGAAAUGCGUAGAUAUUAGGAGGAACACCAGUGGCGAAGGCGGCUUUCUGGACAGUAACUGACGCUGAGGCGCGAAAGUGUGGGGAGCAAACAGGAUUAGAUACCCUGGUA
rnacentral:rRNA from 1 species